rnacentral:lncRNA from 1 species
CGGCGAGUAAAACUCGAGCACAGUUGCAUCCUUUUGGCUAGCCAACGCAGCCGCGAAGGCUCUCUGCUCUGCUUCUCCUUGCUCGGAAGCGCUUAAAGGCUUCUUCUUUGGGGGUUUUAGAUCGAGCCCGAGCGAGUUGAAGGAGGUGAGAGCGAUGGAACCGACGCUUUGCAUAGAUCUGAAUAGCCAGGGGGAUUGAAAGUCGCAGACGCUUGGAGAUUUGGGUUGUUUGUUUGGAGAGUCCCAUGGCCAUUUCAAGCAGAAGAGAGGGUUUGGAGGAGGAGAAGCGGUCGUAAUCUUCGAUUCCAUCAAAGUGCCGUUGCGGCGGAGAAGAAGUUUGACUCGCCGGGAACUUGUGUUAGAAGAAUGUAAUUCUGCGACGGUCGAAGAAAUUAUUAAUUAGGGACUUUUAUUAUUUCGGUUUGCUAAAAUUUUGGUUUUUUAACCAAACCAAACCGUAACUCAAAGAAUCGGUUUAUCUCUCAUUUUCUGUUCUUUUACUAGCCUGCGCAUUUCGGAUAUCUGUUUGGUUCGCGUAUUUUGUGUAGUUCGGAUAAUAAGCUGGAGGAUCUACUUACUAUUUGACAUAUUUUUGGUUUGGUUCGGUGUGGAUAGUUUCGGAUUCGGUUCGGUUCGGAUAGUAAAACUAGGAAUCAAAAAAUAUCCUAAAAAAGUUCGGUUAUCAUUUGGUUUCGGUUCGGAUAGUUCGGGUAAUUCGGAUAAAAUAUCGGUUUGAGAGAUACAAUAUCAAAUAAUUAUGAUGAUUUAAAUAAAAAGUUUGAAUAUUUCAUAUUACUUUGGAUAUUUCGAAUCAAACUAUCCGGAUAGUUUGUGAUAUUUUCGGAUAGUUCGGAUACUUUAUAAUAAUUUAGUUAUUUUUCAUGUUUUUGGAUACUUUUAAUAUUAUAAUAGAUUUUUAGUAGAAUAAUAUGUUAAGAAUUAAAAGAAAAAAAAUGUGUAUAUAAUCUUUUCCUCCUGAGAAACAAGUUUACAAAAAAGAAUCCAUAAACUUUUGCAUGGAUCAUGCAUCUAAGAUUAGAUUUUCAAGUAAACACAAUCCAAAUCCUUAUCAACUCGUAUGUUGCCGCACACUCUUCGCAGAACAAUAGGAACUCGAGCUUCCUUCAGAGCCAGGACCUGAAAGCUAAGCAGCGUGUCUUACGUUUCCUCCUCCCCAAGCUCUUGUUCUUACCACCUUUUUCUAAGAUCCCACUCUCUUCUUCUCCUGUCACCUUCUCUCUCUUGUCCUCUUGACUAAAAACCCUCGUCUCUUGUAUGACCGUUGAGGUUGAAAAAUCUUGCCUCUCUGAUUUUUGAGGAACAUUUUCAAAAUGUUCCAACAGACUGACUUGCUUUUUGUGAUCAUCCUCUGCUCUGUCUGGCGACAACUCCUCAGCUUCUUGAACAGGAGUUGUAUUUGUUCUAACCAUGUAUAUCACUUUCAAAAGAGACACAAAAAUCUUCAGUUAUGCAUUUGCGUUUACGCACACAAAGAUCUCAUCUUUUCACAUUACCUCGGGAAACCACUUCUCGUUCUCCGCAUCAGCCAUGGUAACACUAAGCCAAUUCGUGUUCCUUUUCUCAACCUCCAAGACGAAGUUGAGCAGAGAGUUGCAGAGUCUGCACUUCGGCGAGUAAAACUCGAGCACAGUUGCAUCCUUUUGGCUAGCCAACGCAGCCGCGAAGGCUCUCUGCUCUGCUUCUCCUUGCUCGGAAGCGCUUAAAGGCUUCUUCUUUGGGGGUUUUAGAUCGAGCCCGAGCGAGUUGAAGGAGGUGAGAGCGAUGGAACCGACGCUUUGCAUAGAUCUGAAUAGCCAGGGGGAUUGAAAGUCGCAGACGCUUGGAGAUUUGGGUUGUUUGUUUGGAGAGUCCCAUGGCCAUUUCAAGCAGAAGAGAGGGUUUGGAGGAGGAGAAGCGGUC